rnacentral:lncRNA from 1 species
AACUUCUUGAUGAAAACAACAAACCCAGUGAAAAUAACUGAAAGACUGGAAUUCAGAUGGCCAGAGUGGAGCAACCAUUUCAACACCCAAGAUAUUUGCUAAAGACUACAAAAGAUGCCAACACAAGUGCUGAAGAGGAUGCUACAUGAGAGAAAGAUGGAUUCGUAUGUGGAAAAGCCUUCUAAGGAUAAAGUCUACCAUAUACUGACUUACUUUCGGAGGUAACAAGGGUUGGUGAGAUCUCAGUAGCGUCCUUCUCAUGAGGAGGUCAGUCUCUUAAACUUCAAGUGGAAAACAGAUGAGAUGAGGUGACUGUGCUGAAUUUGAAAUAUGUGCCCUAAUCCCAAUGUUAUUUUGUUGUUGCUGUUAUGUUUGUUUCAAAAAUAAUUACAAGGUAAUUGCCCUCUGAUUUCUGUUACCCACAGAACCUCAUCUCUCACCUUACCCCCAGCUUUAAUGAGGCUUCUUGUUGGUCAAUUCCAAUAAGAACUCUCUAAGUCACCUGGGCUGCUCUGAGAUCCACCUUACAGUGACUCAGGAAUACAGUCAAUACAAUGGUAGAAAGUGGCCCUGGCAAGGAAAGACUUUAAAACACAUAGAACAAAUCAGCCCAGAGGCUCUGCCGG